rnacentral:rRNA from 1 species
CCUGCAUGAAGUCGGAAUUGCUAGUAAUCGCGGAUCAGCAUGCCGCGGUGAAUACGUUCUCGGGCCUUGUACACACCGCCCGUCACACCAUGGGAGUCGGUAACACCCGAAGUCUGUAGCCUGACGCAAGAGGGCGCAGCCGAAGGUGGGAUUGAUGACUGGGGUGAAGUCGUAACAAGGUAAC